UGAGUAACCUGCCCUUGACUCUGGGAUAAGCCUGGGAAACUGGGUCUAAUACCGGAUAUGACCUUCCAUCGCAUGGUGGUUGGUGGAAAGCUUUUGUGGUUUUGGAUGGACUCGCGGCCUAUCAGCUUGUUGGUGGGGUAAUGGCCUACCAAGGCGACGACGGGUAGCCGGCCUGAGAGGGUGACCGGCCACACUGGGACUGAGACACGGCCCAGACUCCUACGGGAGGCAGCAGUGGGGAAUAUUGCACAAUGGGCGAAAGCCUGAUGCAGCGACGCCGCGUGAGGGAUGACGGCCUUCGGGUUGUAAACCUCUUUCAGUAGGGAAGAAGCGUAAGUGACGGUACCUGCAGAAGAAGCGCCGGCUAACUACGUGCCAGCAGCCGCGGUAAUACGUAGGGCGCAAGCGUUAUCCGGAAUUAUUGGGCGUAAAGAGCUCGUAGGCGGUUUGUCGCGUCUGCCGUGAAAGUCCGGGGCUCAACUCCGGAUCUGCGGUGGGUACGGGCAGACUAGAGUGAUGUAGGGGAGACUGGAAUUCCUGGUGUAGCGGUGAAAUGCGCAGAUAUCAGGAGGAACACCGAUGGCGAAGGCAGGUCUCUGGGCAUUAACUGACGCUUGAGGAGCGAAAGCAUGGGGAGCGAACAGGAUUAGAUACCCUGGUAGUCCAUGCCGUAAAACGUUGGGCACUAGGUGUGGGGGACAUUCCACGUUUUCCGCGCCGUAGCUAACGCAUUAAGUGCCCCGCCUGGGGAGUACGGCCGCAAGGCUAAAACUCAAAGGAAUUGACGGGGGCCCGCACAAGCGGCGGAGCAUGCGGAUUAAUUCGAUGCAACGCGAAGAACCUUACCAAGGCUUGACAUGAACCGGACCGCUGCAGAAAUGUGGUUUCCCCUUUGGGGCUGGUUUACAGGUGGUGCAUGGUUGUCGUCAGCUCGUGUCGUGAGAUGUUGGGUUAAGUCCCGCAACGAGCGCAACCCUCGUUCUAUGUUGCCAGCACGUGAUGGUGGGGACUCAUAGGAGACUGCCGGGGUCAACUCGGAGGAAGGUGGGGACGACGUCAAAUCAUCAUGCCCCUUAUGUCUUGGGCUUCACGCAUGCUACAAUGGCCGGUACAAAGGGUUGCGAUACUGUGAGGUGGAGCUAAUCCCAAAAAGCCGGUCUCAGUUCGGAUUGGGGUCUGCAACUCGACCCCAUGAAGUCGGAGUCGCUAGUAAUCGCAGAUCAGCAACGCUGCGGUGAAUACGUUCCCGGGCCUUGUACACACCGCCCGUUCAAGUCACGAAAGUGGUAACACCCGA
rnacentral:rRNA from 1 species